UACGUAGGGUGCGAGCGUUAAUCGGAAUUACUGGGCGUAAAGCGUGCGCAGGCGGACUGUUAAGCAAGACGUGAAAUCCCCGGGCUUAACCUGGGAAUGGCGUUUUGAACUGGCAGUCUAGAGUGUGUCAGAGGGGGGUAGAAUUCCACGUGUAGCAGUGAAAUGCGUAGAGAUGUGGAGGAAUACCAAUGGCGAAGGCAGCCCCCUGGGUCGACACUGACGCUCAUGCACGAAAGCGUGGGGAGCAAACAGG
rnacentral:rRNA from 1 species